rnacentral:lncRNA from 1 species
ACAAACUCUUUUGUUUUCUACUCGAGAUAUCAUCUACGCAUGAACAUAGCUCAUGAUGCCACUGUUGGGGAAUGUUGCAUGGGAAACAAAAAUAUCCGACGCACACGAAGACCUGACAUGGUGAUGAUCAUCUACAAGAGGGAGAUUGGAUCCACAUACCCUUGUACAUCACUAAACGGGAAGCGUUAAGAACGUGGUUGAUGUAGUGGAAUGUCUUCGCGAUCCAAAUCAUCGCCGUCCCAUGAUCUGUCUCGAUCUAGCACCAAACGGACGGCACCUCCACGUUCAGCACAUGUACAGCUCGAUGACGAUCUCCGCCUUCUUGAUCCAGCAAGAGAAACGAAGAGGUAGCUGAAUUCUCCAGCAGCAAGAUGGCGUGGCGGUUAUGAUGGUGGAGCUACUCGAGCAGGGCUUCACCGUGCCAUACCGAUCUAGCUUCAAGGUGUCACGAAGUUGUGCAGGGAGAGAGGUUUGCA